UGUUUUAAUUUAUCAAUUUUGAUUAAAUCAAAAUAAUAUUUCACGUCGUUAGGCAUCGUGGUCGGGAACCUAAUGGGUCACACACAAAAGAGAAUUGAAAGAUUGCAAAUUGCCAAUUGAUUAAUUUAACAAUCGUUGGAUAAAUUAAUUAAUUGGAUUUGUUAUUUAUAUUUUCGAAUUAAUUAAUUGGAUUAAUUAAUU
rnacentral:lncRNA from 1 species